UAUCUCUUGUUGGAGAAGCAGGGCACGUGCAAGUUCCUAUGUUUAAGUGAACUUUGCACGUGCUCCCCUUCUCCACCGUGAGUCU
rnacentral:pre_miRNA from 2 species